rnacentral:rRNA from 1 species
UACGUAGGUGGAAAGCUUUAUCCGGAAUUAUUGGGCGUAAAGCGCGCGUAGGCGGUUUUUUAAGUCUGAUGUGAAAGCCCACGGCUCAACCGUGGAGGGUCAUUGGAAACUGGAAAACUUGAGUGCAGAAGAGGAAAGUGGAAUUCCAUGUGUAGCGGUGAAAUGCGCAGAGAUAUGGAGGAACACCAGUGGCGAAGGCGACUUACUAGUCUGCAACUGAGGCUGAUGUGCUAAAGCGUGGGUAGCAAACAUA